CGCGCUUUUAAGCUCCACGACCUUAUCUCUCAUACCUCAGCCGCCUGGCCUGAAGCGAAGCUGUCUUGCCCGAGAAGAGAGUGGUCACGGUGUCGCGUGGUAACAAAGCUCAGGACGAGGAGAACCUACAUGAGAAAGGACGUCCUCCGGUGUCUCCCAUCAGGAUAAAGCAGCAUCUGUCAUGCAAAUACCGCCCUGUGCAGAAGUGAGGGAAGACUGCUGCAGAAGUGAAUACAGGCAACAUCUUUGUUCCCAGGGCACAGGUCUUUGAGAGGAAAUCUCCAAGCCUCUUGAAGAGGCAUUAGAAGGCUAUCCAGGCAGCAAAAGUACCUCAGGAUCAUGGCUGAUAAAAACCAGGAGAUCGGUGACACCCAUUCCCCUUUUCUCUUCACACCCUAUUCCAUCCAGAUAGACUUCAUGACAGUGCUGUACCAGGUGUUGGAAGAUGGCAAGAUUGGGAUAUUUGAGAGUCCAACUGGCACUGUAAGUAUGAACAGUUGCCCCAAGAGGGCUCUUGGGAGACCCUGAUUACAACUAGUCAGAGGUUUAUUUGCCUCUGCAGAGAUUUUCAUGGUUUGGAGUUGGGCAAAGUAGUUUUCUCAGUUUACCUUUCUGAGUAAUGCUCACUUCCCUCUAUUAAAUUGUUAAACACAACCCUGGGUUCUAAGGAAAAUUAGGUUACAGGCUAAGGAGAAUUUGAAUGGCAGUGGUUCUCCUUCAGGGAGCAACAUAGAAAUUUAUUGCCCUGCCAGGUUGGGCUCAGUUGGUUGAGCAUUGUCCCAUGUACCAGGAAGUUACUGGUUUGAUUCCUGGUCAGGGCACAUGCCUGGUUUGUGGGUUGAACCCCAGUAGGGGCAUGCAGAAGAUAGCUGAUCAAUGUUUCUUUCUCAUCAAUGUUUCUCUCUCCCCCUCUCCAUUCCUCUCUCUGAAAUAAAUGAAAACAUUUUUUUAAAAAAAGUCAAAUUUAUCAAAUUUGGCGCCAUGGGCUGGUGCUUUUAAUUCUUUUGUCUGUUUCUUAAGAAAUGUACUUUUCUCAUACCACAUUUUGAAAUUAUAACCUAUGUGCUCUUGUUUCCUGAUUUGUGGAUUUUAGUGAUUGGUACCUUCCUCUUGUGAUGGAUAAGAUAUAGCUUUCUUACCAUCCCUUUUCUCUGCCACUCCUGAUGUAAUUAGCUGUUUUUAGUCUCUGCUAAGUCAUUAUACUAUGAUUGUUUUUUCAUGGAAUAAUGUUAUUGUUCUAGAGUUAAUAAUUGCCUUUUAAAAGCUUGUUUAGUUUUUAAUAUGCUUAUGCUAAUUCCACACACAUCAUCCAGUAGUCUCUCAAUAUGAUGCAGAUUUUCACAUUGUCCAAAACUACAGUUGGCCCUUGUCUGUGGGUCCUGCACCGAUGGGUUCAACCAACUCCAGAUCAAAAAUAUUGGGGGGAAAA